rnacentral:rRNA from 1 species
UAGCUGCAUUAUUUGACGUUAGCGACAGAAGAAGCACCGGCUAACUCCGUGCCAGCAGCCGCGGUAAUACGGAGGGUGCGAGCGUUAAUCGGAAUUACUGGGCGUAAAGCGCAUGCAGGUGGUUUGUUUAAGUCAGAUGUGAAAGACCCGGGGCGUCAACCUCGGAAUAGCAUUUGAAACUAGGCAGACUAGAGUACUGUAGAGGGGGGUAGGAAUUUCAGGUGUAGCGGUGAAAUGCGUAGAGAUCUGAAGGAAUACCGGUGGCGAAGGCGGCCCCCUCGGACAGAUACUGACACUCAGAUGCGAAAGCGUGGGGAGCAAACAGGAUUAGAUACCCUGGUAG